rnacentral:rRNA from 1 species
AUUGAACGCUGGCGGCAUGCCUUACACAUGCAAGUCGAACGGCAGCACGGGUGCUUGCACCUGGUGGCGAGUGGCGAACGGGUGAGUAAUACAUCGGAACAUGUCCUGUAGUGGGGGAUAGCCCGGCGAAAGCCGGAUUAAUACCGCAUGCGAUCUACGGAUGAAAGCGGGGGACCUUCGGUCCUCGCGCUAUAGGGUUGGCCGAUGGCUGAUUAGCUAGUUGGUGGGGUAAACGCCUACCCAGGCGACGAUCAGUAGCUGGUCUGAGAGGACGACCAGCCACACUGGGACUGAGGCAGAGCCCAGACUCCUACGGGAGGCAGCAGUGGGGAAUUUUAGACAAUGGGCGAAAGCCUGAUCCAGCAAUGCCGCGUGUGUGAAGAAGGCCUUCGGGUUGUAAAGCACAUUUGUCCGGAAAGAAAUCCUUGGCCCUAAUACGGUCGGGGAAUGACGGUACCGGAAGAAUAAGCACCGGCUAACUACGUG